rnacentral:rRNA from 1 species
UACGUAGGCAGCGAGCGUUGUUCGGAAUUACUGGGCGUAAAGAGUGUGUAGGCGGUGCUCCCAGUCUGUUGUGAAAGCUCUCGGCUUAACCGGGAGAGGUCGGUGGAAACUGCCACACUGGAGGACGGUAGAGGGGGGUGGAAUUCCCGGUGUAGUGGUGAAAUGCGUAGAGAUCGGGAGGAACACCUGUGGCGAAGGCGGCCCCCUGGGCCGGCCCUGACGCUGAGACGCGAAAGCGCGGGGAGCGAACGGG